GGGAAUAACCCGUUGAAAGACGGACUAAUGCCCUAUGGAGUCCUUUGACGGCAUCAGAUUAGGACUAAAGAUUCAUCGGUAUGGGAUGGGGAUGCGUCUGAUUAGCUUGUUGGCGGGGUAACGGCCCACCAAGGCAUCGAUCAGUAGGGGUUCUGAGAGGAAGGUCCCCCACAUAGGAACUGAGACACGGUCCUA
rnacentral:rRNA from 1 species